AGUGAACGCUGGCGGUAGGCCUAACACAUGCAAGUCGAACGGCAGCACAGUAAGAGCUUGCUCUUACGGGUGGCGAGUGGCGGACGGGUGAGGAAUACAUCGGAAUCUACUUUUUCGUGGGGGAUAACGUAGGGAAACUUACGCUAAUACCGCAUACGACCUACGGGUGAAAGCAGGGGAUCUUCGGACCUUGCGCGAUUGAAUGAGCCGAUGUCGGAUUAGCUAGUUGGCGGGGUAAAGGCCCACCAAGGCGAGGAUCCGUAGCUGGUCUGAGAGGAUGAUGGGCCACGCUGGGACGGAGACACGGCCCAGACGCCUACGGGCGGCAGCCGUAGGGAAUCGUCGGAAAUGGUCGGAAGUCUGACCGAGGAACGCCGCGUGGGAGCAGAAGGUUUUCGGAUCGUAACGCUCGUUUUUAAGAGAAGAACGAGUGUGAGAGUGGAAAGUUCACACUGUGACGGUAUCUUAACAGAAAGGGACGGCUAACUACGUG
rnacentral:rRNA from 1 species